UACGUAGGAUGCAAGCGUUGUCCGGAAUUAUUGGGCGUAAAGCGCGCGCAGGCGGCCUUUUAAGUCUGAUGUGAAAGCCCACGGCUCAACCGUGGAGGGUCAUUGGAAGCUGGGGGACUUGAGUGCAGGAGAGAAGAGUGGAAUUCCACGUGUAGCGGUGAAAUGCGUAGAGAUGUGGAGGAACACCAGUGGCGAAGGCGACUCUUUGGCCUGUAACUGACGCUGAGGCGCGAAAGCGUGGGGAGCAAACAGG
rnacentral:rRNA from 1 species